rnacentral:rRNA from 1 species
ACGGAAGGCAGCAGUGAGGAAUAUUGGUCAAUGGGCGGAAGCCUGAACCAGCCAAGUCGCGUGAAGGAUGAAGGUAUUAUGUAUUGUAAACUUCUUUAGCAGUGGAGUAAUAAGGAGGAUGCAUCCUCUGAUGCAAGUACACUGAGAAUAAGCAUCGGCUAACUCCGUGCCAGCAGCCGCGGUAAUACGGAGGAUGCGAGCGUUAUCCGGAUUUAUUGGGUUUAAAGGGUGCGCAGGCGGCACGUUAAGUCAGCGGUGAAAUGCAGGGGCUCAACCCCGGCACUGCCGUUGAAACUGGCGAGCUCGAGUACGGAUGAAGUCGGCGGAAUGUGAUGUGUAGCGGUGAAAUGCUUAGAUAUGUCACAGAACACCGAUUGCGAAGGCAGUUGACUAAUCCGCAACUGACGCUCAGGCACGAAAGCGUGGGGAUCGAACAGGAUUAGAUACCCUGGUA